rnacentral:rRNA from 1 species
ACGGGAGGCAGCAGUGGGGAAUAUUGCACAAUGGGCGAAAGCCUGAUGCAGCGACGCCGCGUGAGUGAUGAAGUAUUUCGGUAUGUAAAGCUCUAUCAGCAGGGAAGAUAAUGACGGUACCUGACUAAGAAGCACCGGCUAAAUACGUGCCAGCAGCCGCGGUAAUACGUAUGGUGCAAGCGUUAUCCGGAUUUACUGGGUGUAAAGGGAGCGCAGGCGGUACGGCAAGUCUGAUGUGAAAGCCCGGGGCUCAACCCCGGUACUGCAUUGGAACUGUCAAGCUAGAGUAUCGGAGAGGUAAGUGGAAUUCCUAGUGUAGCGGUGAAAUGCGUAGAUAUUAGGAGGAACACCAGUGGCGAAGGCGGCUUACUGGACGAUAACUGACGUUGAGGCUCGAAAGCGUGGGGAGCAAACAGGAUUAGAUACCCUGGUA